GAGGGUGUGGCUCAGUGGUAGAGCCUGUGCUUAGCAUGCAUGAGGUCUGGGGUUCAAUCCCCAGCACCUCCA
rnacentral:tRNA from 1 species